GCUGGGUGUGGUGGCCCACGCCUGUAAUCCCAGCACUUUGGGAGGCUGAGGCAGGUGGAUCACCUGAGGUCAGGAGUUCAAGACCAGCCUGGCCAACAUGGUGAAACCCCGUCUCUA
rfam:Pan troglodytes isolate Yerkes chimp pedigree #C0471 (Clint) chromosome 10, whole genome shotgun sequence.